rnacentral:rRNA from 1 species
GUGGGGAAUAUUGGACAAUGGGGGGAACCCUGAUCCAGCCAUGCCGCGUGUGUGAAGAAGGCCUUUUGGUUGUAAAGCACUUUAAGCGAGGAGGAGGCUACCGAGAUUAAUACUCUUGGAUAGUGGACGUUACUCGCAGAAUAAGCACCGGCUAACUCUGUGCCAGCAGCCGCGGUAAUACAGAGGGUGCAAGCGUUAAUCGGAUUUACUGGGCGUAAAGCGGGCGUAGGUGGCCAAUUAAGUCAAAUGUGAAAUCCCCGAGCUUAACUUGGGAAUUGCAUUCGAUACUGGUUGGCUAGAGUAUGGGAGAGGAUGGUAGAAUUCCAGGUGUAGCGGUGAAAUGCGUAGAGAUCUGGAGGAAUACCGAUGGCGAAGGCAGCCAUCUGGCCUAAUACUGACACUGAGGUGCGAAAGCGUGGGGAGCAAACAGGAUUAGAAACCCGUGUAGUCC